UAGCUCAGUCGGUUAGAGCAUGGUGCUGAUAACACCAAGGCCGCGGGUUCGAUUCCCAC
rnacentral:tRNA from 1 species